rnacentral:rRNA from 1 species
GACGAACGCUGGCGGCGUGCCUAACACAUGCAAGUCGAACGGGACUCAGCCCUUCGGGACUGAGUUUAGUGGCGAACGGGUGAGUAACGCGUGAGGAACUUGCCUUUCAGUGGGGGACGAACAGUUGGAAACGACUGCUAAUACCGCAUAAAACUUUCGAGCGGCAUCGUUUGAAAGUCAAAGAUUUAUUGCUGAAAGAUGGCCUCGCGUCUGAUUAGCUGGUUGGUGAGGUAACGGCCCACCAAGGCGACGAUCAGUAGCCGGUCUGAGAGGAUGAACGGCCACAUUGGGACUGAGAUACGGCCCAGACUCCUACGGGAGGCAGCAGUGGGGAAUAUUGGGCAAUGGGGGGAAACCCUGACCCAGCAACGCCGCGUGAAGG